rnacentral:lncRNA from 1 species
UGCGGGCGAGGAACGGGUGGACGGCGAGUCGCUGGGCUGGAUUACACGGUUGUGGCCCAACAGUAUUGGAGAGCUUGGGCUCGAGUGAUGUUCUGGGCCUUGUAGCCUGUUUAAGCUGAUUCUGAACCCUAAUCAGCCUUUUAUGUUUGUUUUUUUUGACAAUUUUUUUUACAAACUUUUAUGUUUGUUUUUGACUGGAGCCUUUUAUGUUUGUUGCAAAAUGUUGUGUUUUUUUUACGAAGAUGCUCUAUGACCUUCAUGAGGUCACUGAUCUAUAAAUUGUCGGCAACAGUGACUUAAGACCAGAAAGCACAUGGAUUUUGAGUAUAUAGUUUAGUACGUUCGUCGUGUGAGAUUUGUCUAUCCAAGUGUAAGUUCUUGCCUUAGAAUACGUGCUCCUAUUUUUCUAAACUUAUUUUAGGCAUAAAUUGUGAAACAAACGAUGACAUAGUCACAUCAUUAAUCCCAAAAAAGUCAAGAUCUAUCAAUUUAGGGCCUGUUUAAUUUCUCUUACUAAAUUUUAGCCAGCUAAACUUUAGUCACUUUAGUAGCAACUUUCAAACAC